CGAAACGCAAUGGUUGGAACUAUUUAAAAGAGGGGAAAAAGAACAGAACUUCAAAUUCUGCAAAUCUGAGAAGAAAUGUGCAAGCCAUCCUUCUUUUCUGAUCUGGCAGUCUGCAACAGAGACUGGAAGAUGAAUACUCUUAAUCUCCCUGUGCUGAAGAUAGCCAGCUAAGGGUCACUACAAUCAUGGAUUCUGCAUUUUGCCUCCCUCCUUUUGCCCAAUAAAGGAACCUCACUUACUGUUUUUCAACCGAUUGGAACCUUACCCAAAUCCAUGGAAUUUUAGAAAAUUAAAACCAAUGGAUCAGCUCGCUCACUGGCUAUUUCUUUCCUGGGAUGAAGUCCAUUAGAACUGAGAGAAAUGUCCGCCUGCAACUCCAACAGUUUGCUUGGUUUUCUGUUAAAUGGAAAAUAUAAGGUUGAAUGAAUGUA